CCUACGGGAGGCAGCAGUGAGGAAUAUUGGUCAAUGGGCGCAAGCCUGAACCAGCCAAGUCGCGUGAGGGAAGACGGCCCUACGGGUUGUAAACCUCUUUUGCCGGGGAGCAAGCCUGAGCACGUGUGCCCAGGCGGAGAGUACCCGGAGAAAAAGCAUCGGCUAACUCCGUGCCAGCAGCCGCGGUAAUACGGAGGAUGCGAGCGUUAUCCGGAUUUAUUGGGUUUAAAGGGUGCGUAGGCGGAAUAUCAAGUCAGCGGUAAAAAUUCGGGGCUCAACCCCGUCGUGCCGUUGAAACUGAUGUUCUUGAGUGGGCGAGAAGUAUGCGGAAUGCGUGGUGUAGCGGUGAAAUGCAUAGAUAUCACGCAGAACUCCGAUUGCGAAGGCAGCAUACCGGCGCCCAACUGACGCUGAAGCACGAAAGCGUGGGUAUCGAACAGGAUUAGAUACCCCUGUAGUC
rnacentral:rRNA from 1 species